CCUACGGGGGGCAGCAGUAAGGAAUAUUGGUCAAUGGACGCAAGUCUGAACCAGCCAUGCCGCGUGCAGGAUGAAGGCCCUCUGGGUUGUAAACUGCUUUUAUCUGGGAAGAAAUCUCUAUUUCUAUAGAUGUUGACGGUACCAGAGGAAUAAGCACCGGCUAACUCCGUGCCAGCAGCCGCGGUAAUACGGAGGGUGCAAGCGUUAUCCGGAUUUACUGGGUUUAAAGGGUGCGUAGGUGGAUAAGUAAGUCAGCGGUGAAAGCUCCGAGCUUAACUCGGAAACUGCCAUUGAUACUGCUUAUCUUGAAUACUGUGGAGGUUGGCGGAAUGUGUCAUGUAGCGGUGAAAUGCUUAGAUAUGACACAGAACACCGAUUGCGAAGGCAGCUGGCUACACAGUCAUUGACACUGAGGCACGAAAGCGUGGGGAUCAAACAGGAUUAGAUACCCGUGUAGUC
rnacentral:rRNA from 1 species